ensembl:lncRNA
GGGGGGGCGAUGUGACCUCCCCGCAGUCGGAAUGCAAAUUGGUGAAAGUGACAGCGGUUUAAACCCUGAAGAGUGAUGACGGCGAAACAGCCGCAGUGGGAUGUUCAUGUUCAUGUGGAUGACAUCACACGUGAUGACAUCAUGCGUGAGGUCAUCUACAUCAUGGACCACAGCAGCUGGUUAAGUUUGGAACCAGAAGAAAGUGUCCUUCAGGAUUCUUUAUUCGUUAAAGAGCAGACUGUGUAACACACACCCCCCCCCCCGCCGCCCAAAAGAGCCUCAAGUGACUAUAAAAUGAUCCAGAUAUUUGCCCCGGAGGCGCCGAUAAGGCAAUACUUAGAACCCAAAGAUUUACAUAAAUUAUUGGUGUCCUCCCUCCAGUUAUUUUUGUCAGAGUGGGAAUGGAACUGAAAUGUUAUUUAUGAAAGAGCCCCGAUAGAACUCUACUUCAUUCCAUUUGAAUAGAAUUAACUUUAUUUUGAAGGAACGAAGCAGCACUGUCAGUCCUCCUCUCUGAGGCUUCUGGCCCUCAUUCGUCUCCUGGUGCUCGGUGACUUCCAACGAAUCAGUAUUCCAGAACAUCUCCGCAGCCGUCUGGUGGAGGAGCACAUCUUCAUGCAGGAGAUCACCUCCCUGGCCUCGGAGUCUGUUGACCAGAUGGAGGACUCUCAGUGGUUCCUCCUCACACUGAGACUCUGGAGGACACUCUGAACACCAUCAGGUCUCCUUCAUUUGUGUUCUAAUCACUAAACCAACAGCUGUUCUUCCUCCACUCAUCUUCUGGCUGGAGGUCCUGUCCUCUCUCCUGCAUCCAAAGAGAUGAACAUCAGACAAACGGUGAAGAGCUCAGAGCUCCUCAGGCUGAUGUGAGACGGAGACGCCUUCGCCCCCUGAAUGCAAACGGCAACGUUAUCGUGUGCGCGUUCAAUUCAACCAUAAAUCACACAAUGACAGAAAGUCCUCCGGCGGGGGGGGGGGGGGGGGGGGGGCGUGCCAGAGAGGGCUUCCAGUCAGAAUACAAAGAGGAGUCACACAGUCCAUCAGAUGUCUCCAUCUUGGUCUCCUCGGGAAUCGGCAACUCACCUUUUGUCAUUUACCGUGAUUCUGAUCUUCAGAUGAGAUCAAACGUCCUUUUACCUCUUUACUACUUUCUCCUAAACUCACCAAACGUUACUAUUUAAUGGCGAGGUGUGUUUCACAGUGAGUGCUCCUCUUAAUGUAGUGAUGAAGUGGUGAACUCUCGUGUUGAUGUCUCCUCUGAGCUGCUCGUGUUGAAUGGAGCAGGAGGGAGGAGGUCAUUAAAACAGAGGGAAGCGUCGGUGUGAAAUGAAGAGGAAGCCAUCUGUCAUGGAGCGACGAGGCUUCACCUGGAUGCUAAUGAGCCUCAAACCGCCGGCAGAGGAAAUAUUAAACUGUUAAACGUGAGCGAUGAUGGCGAGCCGGCGGAGGAGGAAGGUCGCUGCUUUUAACGCGUCUCUUUUUCUUUCAUCCGGGGACAAACAUCCUGCCGUCUGUGUUUUGACUGGUCCUGAAUCAAGAUCAGCAGAGACCAGUCCACCGUGGACAGACCAGGGUCCUCCAGCAGAGACCAGUCCACCGUGGACAGACCCAGGUCCUCCAGUAGAGACCAGUCCACUGUGGACAGACCCAGGUCCUCCAGAAGAGACCAGUCCACUGUGGACAGACCAAGGUCCUCCAGCAGAGACCAUUUCACCGCGGACAGACCCAGGUCCUCCAGAAGAGACCAGUCCACUGUGGACAGACCCAGGUCCUCCAGAAGAGACCAGUCCACUGUGGACAGACCAGGGUCCUCAGUAGAGACCAGUCCACUGUGGACAGACCCAGGUCCUCCAGUAGAGACCAGUCCACCGUGGACAGACCCAGGUCCUCCAGCAGAGACCAGUUCACUGUGGACAGACCAGAGUCCUCCAGUAGAGACCAGUUCAUUGUGGACAGACCAAGGUCCUCCAGCAGAGACCAGUUCACCGCGGACAGACCCAGGUCCUCCAGUAGCGACCAGUCCACCGUGGACAGACCCAGGUCCUCCAGUAGAGACCAGUCCACCGUGGACAGACCAGGGUCCUCCAGUAGAGACCAGUCCACUGUGGACAGACCAGGGUCCUCAGCAGAGACCAGUCCACCGUGGACAGACCCAGGUCCUCCAGUAGAGACCAGUCCACCGUGGACAGACCAGGGUCCUCCAGUAGAGACCAGUCCACUGUGGACAGACCAGGGUCCUCAGCAGAGACCAGUCCACCGUGGACAGACCCAGGUCCUCCAGUAGAGACCAGUCCACCGUGGACAGACCAAGGUCCUCCAGCAGAGACCAGUUCACUGCGGACAGACCCAGGUCCUCCAGAAGAGACCAGUCCACUGUGGACAGACCCAGGUCCUCCAGAAGAGACCAGUUCACUGUGGACAGACCAGAGUCCUCCAGUAGAGACCAGUUCAUUGUAGACAGACCAAGGUCCUCCAGCAGAGACCAGUUCACCGUGGACAGACCAAGGUCCUCCAGCAGAGACCAGUUCACCGCGGACAGACCCAGGUCCUCCAGUAGCGACCAGUCCACCGUGGACAGACCCAGGUCCUCCAGUAGAGACCAGUCCACCGUGGACAGACCAGGGUCCUCCAGUAGAGACCAGUCCACUGUGGACAGACCAGGGUCCUCAGCAGAGACCAGUCCACCGUGGACAGACCCAGGUCCUCCAGUAGCGACCAGUCCACCGUGGACAGACCAGGGUCCUCCAGUAGAGACCAGUCCACUGUGGACAGACCCAGGUCCUCCAGUAGAGACCAGUCCACUGUGGACAGACCAGGGUCCUCAGCAGAGACCAGUCCACCGUGGACGAUGGAUGGUGGUGAUUCUGGUCCUCCUGCUGACUGAACUGAGUGCAUGAAUCUUCUUCUCCAUGAAUCACAUGCUCAUAUUGCUGCCUCCCCCCUCACCC